UACGGAGGGGGCGAGCGUUAUUCGGAAUUAUUGGGCGUAAAGGGCGCGUAGGCGGCCCGGUAAGUCAAAGGUGAAAUCCCUCGGCUCAACUGAGGAACUGCCUUUGAAACUGUCGGGCUUGAGGCCGGGAGGGGGUAGCGGAAUUCCCAGUGUAGCGGUGAAAUGCAUAGAUAUUGGGAGGAACACCAGUGGCGAAGGCGGCUACCUGGACCGGUACUGACGCUGAGGUGCGAAAGCGUGGGGAGCAAACAGGG
rnacentral:rRNA from 1 species